rnacentral:rRNA from 1 species
GAUCAACGCUGGCGGCGUGCAUGAGACAUGCAAGUCGAACGGACGAUCAGGGCUUGCCUUGAUCGUUAGUGGCGGACGGCUGAGUAACGCGUAGGUGACCUGCCCCGAAGUGGGGAAUAACUGCCCGAAAGGGUGGCUAAUACCGCAUGUGCCGGUGUGUUCGAUCGCACCAGCAAAGCCGCAAGGCGCUUCGGGAGGGGCCUGCGUCCGAUUAGCUCGUUGGUGGGGUAACGGCUCACCAAGGCGACGAUCGGUAGGUGGUCUGAGAGGACGAUCACCCAGACUGGGACUGAGACACGGCCCAGACUCCUACGGGAGGCAGCAGUUGGGAAUUUUGCGCAAUGGCGAAAGCCUGACGCAGCAACGCCGCGUGAGGGAUGAAGGCCUUCGGGUUGUAAACCUCUUUUCUCAGGGACGAUAAUGACGGUACCUGAGGAAUAAGCCACGGCUAACUACGUGCCAGCAGCCGCAGUAAAAC